rnacentral:rRNA from 1 species
GAAAGAUGAAAAGAACUUUGAAAAGAGAGUUAAACAGUACGUGAAAUUGUUGAAAGGGAAACGAUUGAAGUCAGUCGUACCAGCGGGAAAUCAACCUUUCGAGUGGGGUUUUGGAGUUUUGAAGUGUGUCAAAACCUUUGAGAUUUCAAAAAUUUCGCUCUUUUGGUGUACUUUCUCGUAGGUAGGUUAACAUCGAUUUUGAUCAUCAUAAAAGGAUUGGAGGAAUGUAGCUUCGAUCUCGUAUUGAAGUGUUAUA